CCUGGCGGCCAUAGCGAGUUUGUACCACCCGAUCCCAUCCCGAACUCGGAAGUGAAACGAUUCUGCGCCGAUGGUAGUGUGGGAGUUCCCAUGUGAGAGUAGGACACUGUCAGGC
rnacentral:rRNA from 1 species